GAACUAUCCGAUCCAUCGCUCACAUGGGAACCCUCUCGACUUUUGUGUCUUAGACUGUUUCGAAAAGUUCUAUGACACUGAAGCGAGAGUGUUCCCAGUGAACUUUUGGGUCAGUUC
rnacentral:pre_miRNA from 1 species